rnacentral:rRNA from 1 species
CAGUAGCCACGGUAAUACGUAGGUGGCAAGCGUUGUCCGGAAUUAUUGGGCGUAGAGGGCUCGCAGGCGGUUUCUUAAGUCUGAUGUGAAAGCCCCCGGCUCAACCGGGGAGGGUCAUUGGAAACUGGGAAACUUGAGUGCAGAAGAGGAGAGUGGAAUUCCACGUGUAGCGGUGAAAUGCGUAGAGAUGUGGAGGAACACCAGUGGCGAAGGCGACUCUCUGGUCUGUAACUGACGCUGAGGAGCGAAAGCGUGGGGAGCGAACAGGAUUAGAUACCCCCGUAGUCCCUGUCUCUUAUAC